UACAGAGGUCCCAAGCGUUGUUCGGAUUCACUGGGCGUAAAGGGUGCGUAGGCGGUCGGGUAAGUCUGAUGUGAAAUCUCACAGCUUAACUGUGAAACUGCCAUUGGAUACUAUUCGGCUUGAGAGUUGGAGGGGGGACUGGAAUUCUUGGUGUAGCAGUGAAAUGCGUAGAUAUCAAGAGGAACACCAGUGGCGAAGGCGAGUCCCUGGACAACUUCUGACGCUGAGGCACGAAAGCUAGGGGAGCAAACAGG
rnacentral:rRNA from 1 species